GUAUUGAUUGCGUGUGAUCGCAAAAGUAAGACAUUCUACACAUUUCAUUAAAAGGGUGUCUAUGUAAAAACGUGAAGACCCCCCUCAGAACUAGCCAAAAGGGGUCCCCACGCGGUGAUGCACAAAGGGGUAAGAUGGAUAUUUGUAUGUGAGAGGACUCGGGCGUGCACGACAAAAAAAAAAGCCAGCGACAACCCUCGUACCCCCAUUGUACGAUAAUGAUCCUUCCGCAGGUUCACCUACGGAAA
rnacentral:misc_RNA from 1 species